rnacentral:lncRNA from 1 species
CUACAAAGAAAGUAUGAUAUGCAUAGUAAUUAAUGGAACGACUGUUUGCAUAUGGAAAUCCUUUUUUCUUCUUUGUCAUCAAUGCUCUUCCAGAGGUUCUCCUAAGAUUUCACUUUUUAGUUGAAUAAUUGUACAAUAAAAAAGAAGAUAGUAAGUCUUAAACGCAAGAAGAGCUUUAUGAGUACCAAUGGGGAAAAUUUCCCAUGAACAAAUGCCAUUACUUUACGUGGCAAGGACAACAUCAGCCACUAGGGACUGGCUGGCAAAUACUCAAGCUUAACUCUGUUUUGUCAAGACCUAAUAGUAGGUUUGAUAGAGUAGUCAAGCUCAAGACAGACACAUCUCGUGAGACUUACAAACCAAGUCCAGCUUAUACAUAUAUCAGCAGUUUAAAUUGUUAAUAUUUUGUAGCUGCAUCCUUAAUUGGCAGAGUAUAUACUCUCAAACAAUCCAUAGAAUAUAGCAAAACUGAUUGUAUAUUUGUAGAUGAUGGACUAAAUCUAGCCAUACUUAUUGUCAAAUUUAAGGUUUCACCAAAUUAUAGUUUUAUACCACAAAUAAUGGCAUGCUUAGUUUUCUUUUGUGAAACAAGUGGAUUUUACAUUAGAUGAUCCAAAAUCUAAAACACAAACUUUCCUAAGUUCCCUUGCCUAGUAAAGAUUAUGCUAGAAACAACUACACCACUCGCAACUUGCCAAGGUAGGGGCUAUGCAAAUAGCUAACAGAAAAAUCAGUUACAGUUUCAUACUUGGUAUCAGUUAGGCUUCCAUGUAGACUCCAUCGCUGCCGAAAACCAUCCAUACCUUCAGCUCCACUUGCCAAAAUCAAGCGCCUAGAAAAAAAGAAGACAUGUCACAGAAUACUUAUUGUAUAUUACUUCACAUCAAAUGCUACAGACAAAAGAGUAAACUCCAGAUUCCAACUUAUGUUUUUUCUUUUUUUACGCAGCAUCCUGAUAAUGGUUUCGACUAGAGAACAAGACAAUCAUAAGAAAGAACAUUGGCACCAUUACCAAAACAGAUAUAGCCUUUGUUAUAACCCUUUGAACAUUCCACAAUUAAAAAAGACGUGCAUUCAGGGUCAUUGAAGUAUUAGUGACUUCAAAUUUGGAACUAACGAAUAGGACAUAUCCCUAAUUUAUAAGUAGAAUAUGCCUGCAACAUAACAAUGACUGUCCCACCAGAAGAGGGUAACAGAUUGGAGAUGAGUAAUUUCAUAGAAGGCAAAUUGGCAACCGCAGGAAUUGGUCUAAGUUCAAGGCAACCUUUGGGUUGUUUGCGCUGUAUGUCCAAAAAUGCAUGCACGCUUUACCUCUUAAAUUAACUGCCUUGUACACCAAUAUUCUAUAAUACGGAUUUGAUGACUAAGAAUAUAAUGACGUACAUAUAUUAUUAUGCUUCACUAGUUAAAAGGAUUUUGUUACUUUUUUAUUUUGAAUUUUUUGCAUUCUAGUAAUUUUCUAUAUCUUUUAUAUUCUAAUAUUUUAGAUGUUAUCUUUUAAAAAAGAAUAUUAAAAAAUAAAAUGUGUGGGGCUUGCGCCUGUCUCAUGAUAGGUAGCACACCCCCCCCCCCUUUUAAAAUACUUCAUAUGAGCUUAUGCUAUGAAUUCAAAAACCAUACCAUAAGCUAUCACCUUGAGAUUGGGGAUGAUACAUUUGCAAUUAGAAGAGAAUAUAUCAAAAGCAAAGACAGACAUGACUGAUACUGAGAAGGGAAGUGAAUAAUAUGGAAACUUCUUGCACUCACUAAAAUCGUGUCGGUGCUACAUUUUAUCAUAACAACAUGCCGUUGAUGAUAACGCAGCUAAAUCUACUUCACUAAUAUACAUAACCAGCAAAUUGUUUAUGUGCAGAACUGGCUUUAUUAGUUUGUUCGUCAGUGAAAAUGAAGUCAAAUCAAUAUUGAGAUAUAGUCCAUCUUUAUCAGUUCAAGUACAAUGAAUAAGUAAAUGAGUAAAGCAUGUUUAUAUUGUUUUAUAGACAAACACAUUUUUUAAAUCAAAGGUCAGGUCAGACUCCUUGAAAGCAACACCACUAUUGGUGUAUUUUCACCUAAAAUAAUAGAUUGAGACUACUUAAACUAAGCAUUUUACAUACCAAGGCUCAUACAUAAAUAAAUUGCACAGGUAAUGGUAACUUCACGCAAAGGAGCUGCAAUUGAUUCUAAGAGAUAGCCGGGAACUUUCUAUUGACUAAACAUUUUUUUGAUAAUUUUUCUAUUGACUAAACAUUUUUUUGAUAAUUUUUCUAUUGACUAAACAUUUAAUGAGUCAUAGCUAAGGAAAAGACAGAUUUAUCAAUAUCAUUACUAAUCUUUACUCUAACAUACCUCUCCAGUAAUGUGACUUCUGAUUCUAGUUGAGUGGCUCGUUCUUUUGCUUGAUCUAGAGGCGUUGACAAUUCUAAUUUCUGUUCACUAUCUUGAAGGCGUUGCCUAAGCUCCUUAUCCUACACAUGAGAACUUCACAUUAAACUGCUGGUAUAAAAUUAGUGUUCAAGCAACCAAAAACCUCAUUUAAAGUACAAGAAAAUCAACUUUAUAUUAGCAAAAAUGUUUAAAAAAUUUAACCCAGUUUUUAUCUUUCUCACCCUUCUCUCUGCACAUUGCCGAUACAGGGCAAUCUCAUCCUGACAGAAUGGCUCAAUAUCAUUGAUUUGUAGGCCUAGAAAACAAACCCUUGAUUGAUGAGCAUUAUAAACCACAUGAACCAAAAAGGGAUAUUUGAGGAAAAGUUAGACAUACAAAGGAACAGGUUCCUCAAGAUUCCAUCACAGAGAUCAACACCUUCGAGUACAUGAGACGCUAUCUCAGGUGGAAUGAGAGGCGAUGGCGGGACCAUCAUUAGAUCAUCACCCACCAGGAUAGUUUCCUCCAUAGUCUGCUGUGAAUCAACUAAAUAACAAAAACACACAACAAACAGAAACAUAAGUCGAACUACUAGUCCUUCGCACUGCAUCUUCCACAAUAUAGUUCACUAAAUGCAAAGUGCAAGUAAUGAAGUCUCAGAAGCUCAGGCUGCAGUUCUGUACAAAGGGUCCUUUUUAUCUUUGUUCCUCCCCCCAUCCCCCUUAACUCAAUCCCCUUCCACAAUAUCUUUGCCUCAAUCCCCUUCUCCCAGUAAAGCAACCAUAUUCCUCCCCAUUUACUUGAUAGAAAAGGAUGUAGAAGAGACACAUGCCAUUACUAAAUGAAUGAAACCUGCUGGAAAAUCAUAGUCUUUCAGCAUCUCCUCUAUAAACGUCCAGCACACCAUAUCAUAAGCCUUCCUCAAGUCAAUUUUCAUUAGACAUCUUGGAGUAGUUUUCCUAUUAUAGUGUCACAUGAGAUCAUGACAAAUCAGUACAUUAUGCACCCAUGAUCUUCAUUGGACAAAGGCUACCUGUGAUUCAUUGACCAGUGACGGUAACACUCUCUUUAGUUUCUUACAUAGAAUCUUAGAGAUGCAUUUGUAUAUGGUGUUGCAAUAUGAUAUUGGCCUAAACUGCCCUACAUUCAGAGGAUUAGGCACCUUAGGAAACAAACUAAUCAAGGUAGCAUUCAGUUGUUUUAAUAACUUCCCAUUUUUAAAGAACUAUAACACAGCUUCACUCACUUCAUCUCCCACAAUGUUCCAUGCACUUUUGAAAAAACUACUCCCAAAUCCAUCAGGCCCCGAGCUCUUGUUCACAUUGAUAGUCAUCAUUGACAUCCUUAACAUCCUUCCUUGAUUAUGGGUCAAGUAGAACCAGUUGUUGUUGAGUAGUUAGUCUCUGACUCCGUAGAAAUCAUGGUGAUGCUAUUCUUCUCCAUCCUCCUUAUUUACCCAGUAAUUCUUUAUAAAACUGCACAAACAAUUUGGCUAUAGUUGUUGGAUCAUCCUGUAUGUUCCCAUUACUGUCUUGCAACUGCGUUACUACUUGUACUAAUUUUCUGUGCUUGAUCAUAGAAUAAAAGUACCUAGUGUUAUCAUCCCACAACCGCAUCCGUGUUGCUUUACUUCUUUGUUGAAGGAAUAUUUCUAUCAGAUAAGUCAACCUCUUAAACUUUGCCCCCAAUCUUCUCUCCUCUUGUUGUAAAUGUACAUCCAAAGGAUUUAGCUCGAGUAAUUCUUCGCACUUCAAUAGAUUCUCCCUAUCCAUUGUUGCUUCUUUCACUAUGUUAUUGAAAUUGCUUUUAUGCAGCUUCUGCAGCUUAGGUUUGAGACCUUUAAGUUUCUUCACCACUUGAAACAUCUUCCAUGCUUCUAUGUUCUGCUUCCACCCCUCCUCUACUAUUUCUAUAAAUUGAGGAUGAGUACUCCAUACAUUACAGUACUUAAAUGCUUCUUUCUCCUGCAAGGCUGCUGCAUGGUUGUAACCUGUACAGGCUGUGAUCACCCACCCCUUCAGGUAAGAACCUUGCUCGACAAUCUACCAACCAUCCAUUCCCCAUUCACAAAUACCCAAUCAAUCCUAGAGAACACCCUACCAUUAUCUUGUUUAUCAUUCCAUAUAUAAGAGCACCCCCAUUAGGAAGCUCCACCAGUCCAUUCAUAUCUAAACAUGUUUGAAAAUAGCUGUAGUAACAAGAUUACCUCCUUGUCUAUCUUCUACAUGCAAGACAGAGUUAAAAUCUCCCAAAAUUAUCCAUGAUUAAUUCAUACCCACUGAAACUUGAUUCAAAUAUUCUCAGAGUGCCUUUCUCUCUUGGAGUAAAGAGUUUUAGAGUAUCUUUAUAUUUCCAAUGAACAAGUUAAAGAGAUAAUAAAUAUUAAUAUUGUCAAUUUAAUUGGUAAUAAAUAUUAAUAUUGUCAAUUUAAUUGGUAAUUACUCCCUCCAGUCCACUUUAAUAAAUUUUUUAGUUAUUUUUACGCACAUUAAGGAAUUCACAUAUUAGCAUUAAUUAAUUAAAAAAUUGAUCGUAUUAACUUUAAUUUAUUUAUUAAAAAUAUAAUAAACACUCAUAGUCUCUUUACUCCAAGGGCAACUUUGAAAAAAAAAGAUAAUUCCUUCUUACUAUCUGAAAAAUCAAAUAUAAUGGAUCACAAAAAAAAACUAAAAAAUUAACUAAAGUGGAUCGGAGGGAGUAAUGUUCAAAGGCGAAUUUUGUAAUAUACGUAAAAAUAACCAAAACAUUAUUUAAAGUGGACCGGAAGAAAUGUUACUUUUGAUAAAUUUAAAGGACCAAAAUUGCUCGAGAAUAUUUAAUGCACUAUUCUUUACUUACCUAAAGACAAAUAGGUUCCAUCGGGGUAAUAAAUGGUGCCAAAUAGGAGAUUAGCACUUGCACAUCUUUCUUUUCUCCUGUUUUCUCUUCUCUCAUCACUUUCCUUUUGGUUUGCAUUGUAGCGAAGUGCAGCAGUGUUCAACUGCCAACACAAGAAAUACAUUCGCCCCCUUACCAACGACCCGUUGCAUCUGUAUCGACUUGACAUCUUGAAGAAAUUCAUUAGUGUCUGUGAAAAAUCACUUCUUCUGUGCAUAGAAUCGAACACCUGGUGGGCAAUAGCAAAAGGAGGACACCAUGGAUGGCAACUCAAAACUCUUUGUAUUACCUACUUUUCUCUUCAACAUGUUAUUCUCUUUUUUCAUUUUACCCCUUU